rnacentral:rRNA from 1 species
CCUACGGGUGGCAGCAGUGAGGAAUAUUGGUCAAUGGACGCAAGUCUGAACCAGCCAUGCCGCGUGCAGGAAGACGGCUCUAUGAGUUGUAAACUGCUUUUGUACGAGGGUAAACGCAGAUACGUGUAUCUGUCUGAAAGUAUCGUACGAAUAAGGAUCGGCUAACUCCGUGCCAGCAGCCGUGGUAAUACGGAGGAUUCAAGCGUUAUCCGGAUUUAUUGGGUUUAAAGGGUGCGUAGGCGGUCGGAUAAGUUAGAGGUGAAAUCCCGAGGCUCAACUUCGGAAUUGCCUCUGAUACUGUUAGGCUAGAGAGUAGUUGCGGUAGGCGGAAUGUAUGGUGUAGCGGUGAAAUGCUUAGAGAUCAUACAGAACACCGAUUGCGAAGGCAGCUUACCAAGCUACGUCUGACGUUGAGGCACGAAAGCGUGGGGAGCAAACAGGAUUAGAUACCCUAGUAGUC